rnacentral:lncRNA from 10 species
AACAGGCGCCGCGGCUGCUCCGGUGGCGCCACUGACUCGGAGGCGGCUGCGGAGAGCGGGGCGCUGGCCCGUGGAGGCGGCAGCGGCGGCGGCUUUCUAGCGGAUCCGAGAUUAUAUAUCUUUGAAUGAUGCAGGCCACUGCAGUGGUGGAGACAGCAUCUGGUAAAGGCUACCACAGUAAUGGAGGCAACCUCCAAAAAGGGAAUUUCAACUUUUUAAAGAUACAGAGAAGGAUUUGCCAUCAAUGUGCUGUCAGAAGAUAAUGCAGAGAGCCAUAAAAGCAGAGCUGCACCUUUUAAAUGUUCACUAUCAGAUGUGUCGUCGCCAUUGUUGUGAUAUUUACAAACUUGUCAUGGAAAAUAG